UACGGGGGGAGCAAGCGUUGUUCGGAUUUACUGGGCGUAAAGGGCGCGUAGGCGGCCUCGCAAGUCCCGUGUGAAAUCCCUCGGCUCAACUGAGGAAUGGCACGGGAAACUGCGGGGCUUGAGUUCGGGAGAGGGAAGCGGAAUUCCGGGUGUAGCGGUGAAAUGCGUAGAUAUCCGGAGGAACACCGGUGGCGAAGGCGGCUUCCUGGACCGAUACUGACGCUGAGGCGCGAAAGCUAGGGGAGCAAACGGG
rnacentral:rRNA from 1 species